rnacentral:lncRNA from 1 species
GGGAGAGAAGAGGGGAACUGUGUGUGGUGGGAGUUGAAAGAUGGGGACAGGAAGCUGAAGGAUACUGAAAGAGAAAGAGAGAAGAAAAGAGUAAGGAGAGAAGUCAGAUUUUCCAUUGUUUUCACCAAGAGUAGCUGGAGUAAGAGAAGAAUCUAAUAAUGUUGGAUGCCUCCCCCACAACCCAAAUGAUCAAGAUUUCAAGACAGAAGUUUUCACCUCGUGGAGUAUCAAAGGCUGCUGAUGUGAUUCAGCCCAUCCUGUAUGCUAGGUUGGGCAAACCCGGUGCUGGGCAGCUGGACUCUGCUGCCCUGACUGCCAACCCAGUGGUCUGAGCCUGCCCAAAAAGCAACAGCAAGGAGCAGCACUGUCAGAGCACACAGGGCAUAUCCCAGUGCAUGUGCCUUUCAGACGUUCAUUAAUGCAGCUUUGCAACAAGGUGUUAAUGUGCUCAUUUCAGUGACUGCAUUUUGCAGCUAAGUUGGCCUCUACGCUGGAUGUAUUGCUAAAGUUUAGUGCUGGAAAAACCUCGUUAUCAAUGUAAUAUGUAAAUAUUUUUUUUAAAUGUCUCAAUCCUUAGCUCAAUAUACUCUCAGUUAAAAAAAAUAUGACAACAAAC